rnacentral:rRNA from 1 species
GAUGAACGCUAGCGGCAGGCCUAAUACAUGCAAGUCGAACGGGAUCUGAGGGUAGCUUGCUACCCGAUUUGAGAGUGGCGCACGGGUGCGUAACGCGUGAGCAACCUACCCAUAUCAGGGGGAUAGCCCGAAGAAAUUCGGAUUAACACCGCAUAAUAAUACGCUAACACAUGUUGAUGUAUUUAAAUAUUUAUAGGAUAUGGAUGGGCUCGCGUGACAUUAGCUAGUUGGUAAGGUAACGGCUUACCAAGGCGACGAUGUCUAGGGGCCCUGAGAGGAGAAUCCCCCACACUGGUACUGAGACACGGACCAGACUCCUACGGGAGGCAGCAGUAAGGAAUAUAGGUCAAUGGGCGCAAGCCUGAACCAGCCAUGCCGCGUGCAGGAUGACUGCCCUAUGGGUUGUAAACUGCUUUUGUUAGGGAAUAAACCUUCUUACGUGUAAGGAGCUGAAUGUACCUAAAGAAUAAGGAUCGGCUAACUCCGUGCCAGCCGCCGCGGUAA